CAGCAGCAGGCACUCCUGCUGCCGGCCGGCGCUCUUUUCACAUUGUGCUACUGUCUGCACUCGUCACAAGCAGUGCAAUGUUAAAAGGGCAUCGGCGGGCAGUGCUCCAGCACCGCCUGCCC
rnacentral:pre_miRNA from 13 species